UCCACUCUUUCUUCUUCCUUGCUUUCAUAGUCUUCCUUUGCUUCACACAAAAUCCAAAACCUCCGCAGAAGCUCAACUGCUCAUCAAUGGCGGACUCCAUCCCCUGCAGAAAGCCCCACUUCCCAUUCUCCGAUCCAAAUCCAGAAGCUCACCGAAACCCGAUUCGACACGUUUGCUAUCUGCCGUUGCAUAUGGUGGUUUAUCACAAGCAUCGCCUUGCAGUGCAUCAUAACCUGGGAUAGAAGCACUUUGCUUUUCUCUACUUUCUUCCAGUAAUUAGAGAAUUUAACAGAAGUUCAAUUUCAAGCUGUACUUUUUCUUGGGACAGAUUGUUGCACUGCCUCUCAUCCCAACAUUAGCAGCAUCUGUGAUAUAUUCAGUCAAAUAGGAAAACAUCACCAAAAAAAGCAGAAACCAACCAAAUAUUCUAUGUAGUGAACAUUCUCCGUGGCACCAAAUGACAGAAUAUCCAAUGAAAUUUAUUUGAAGCUGCAACAUCUCUUAUCACAUAACACAACGGCGUCAUCUCCACGCUUGCAGCAAAGACGGUACCAAAAAAAUCAAAGCAGGUCCCAUAAGAAAAAACUGUGAAAAAGACUACAAGUGAUGCAUUUUCCACUGGAAAUGAGCAUCAACAAAGUAAUGCAGUAUUAUUGUUGUGGCGGUAUUGAAUUGACAAAGCAGUAUGCAGGUAGAAUGGGAAUUGCAAGAUAAAUGUCAAGAACAAAACCACAAACAUUAUAUACUCAUCUCUAGCAACUUUUAAUAAGAUAAACUAGUAAUAUGAUAGAAGCGAGUUGUAUUUUGUAGUACUGUACGGAAAAAAUGAUAUAUAUGAAUUCUUACUCUUCAACUCAAUGUCAUUGUUUAUUUUGUUAUCUUACACUAUUAUUUGGUUCA